CAAAUAUGGUGAAUGGAAUUUGCUGCAAUUUCCUAUCUUUUACAUAAUUUUGGUUAGUAGUGAGCACAUCCCUAUCUUUUGGUUAGUAGUGUCCUAAUACUGUUCUGGAAUUUCCAGUAAUAUGUGGGUUGAUGUAAUAUUGCGUUGAUGUAUUGAUGUAAUGUUGUAUUACAUUGUAUUGAUGUAAUAUUGUGUGAAUGCACUAGUUUGUGUUGAU
rnacentral:lncRNA from 1 species